UUAUCCGGAUUUACUGGGUGUAAAGGGAGCGUAGACGGUUUUGCAAGUCUGAAGUGAAAGCCCGGGGCUUAACCCCGGGACUGCUUUGGAAACUGUAGAACUAGAGUGCAGGAGAGGUAAGUGGAAUUCCUAGUGUAGCGGUGAAAUGCGUAGAUAUUAGGAGGAACACCAGUGGCGAAGGCGGCUUACUGGACUGUAACUGACGUUGAGGCUCGAAAGCGUGGGGAGCAAACCGGAUUAGAUACCCUGGUAGUCCACGCCGUAAACGAUGAUUACUAGGUGUUGGUGGGUACGACCCAUCGGUGCCGCAGCAAACAC
rnacentral:rRNA from 1 species